CGCACUGCAUGGUAUCUGCCCUCAGCAGCUCAUUCCUGCUGGGUGUUCAAAAGACAGUGCAAUAGAAACUCAGUAUCUGGCAUCGUUGGUUCUCUUGGCUUCAUGCAUAGAUUUAGCUUAAAUGUAAGUA
ensembl:snoRNA small nucleolar RNA SNORA8